rnacentral:rRNA from 1 species
GGUGGCGAAGGCGGGCCCCCUGGACAGAUACUGACACUCAGAUGCGAAAAGCGUGGGGAGCAAACAGGAUUAGAUACCCUGGUAGUCCACGCCGUAAACGAUGUCUACUUGGAGGUUGUGGCCUUGAGCCGUGGCUUUCGGAGCUAACGCGUUAAGUAGACCGCCUGGGGAGUACGGUCGCAAGAUUAAAACUCAAAUGAAUUGACGGGGGCCCGCACAAGCGGUGGAGCAUGUGGUUUAAUUCGAUGCAACGCGAAGAACCUUACCUACUCUUGACAUCUACAGAAGCCAGCGGAGACGCAGGUGUGCCUUCGGGAACUGUAAGACAGGUGCUGCAUGGCUGUCGUCAGCUCGUGUUGUGAAAUGUUGGGUUAAGUCCCGCAACGAGCGCAACCCUUAUCCUUGUUUGCCAGCACUUCGGGUGGGAACUCCAGGGAGACUGCCGGUGAUAAACCGGAGGAAGGUGGGGACGACGUCAAGUCAUCAUGGCCCUUACGAGUAGGGCUACACACGUGCUACAAUGGCGCAUACAGAGGGCAGCCAACUUGCGAAAGUGAGCGAAUCCCAAAAAGUGCGUCGUAGUCCGGAUUGGAGUCUGCAACUCGACUCCAUGAAGUCGGAAUCGCUAGUAAUCGUGGAUCAGAAUGCCACGGUGAAUACGUUCCCGGGCCUUGUACACACCGCCCGUCACACCAUGGGAGUGGGCUGCAAAAGAAGUGGGUAGUUUAACCUUCGGGAGGACGCUCACCACUUUGUGGUUCAUGACUGGGGUGAAGUCGUAACAAGGUAACCG